AGAGUGAACGCUGGCGGUAGGCCUAACACAUGCAAGUCGAACGGCAGCACAGUGGUAGCAAUACCAUGGGUGGCGAGUGGCGGACGGGUGAGGAAUACAUCGGAAUCUACCUUUUCGUGGGGGGAUAACGUAGGGAAACUUACGCUAAUACCGCAUACGCCCUUCGGGGGAAAGCCGGGGAUCGCAAGACCUGGCGCGGAUAGAUGAGCCGAUGUCGGAUUAGCUAGUUGGUGAGGUAAUGGCUCACCAAGGCGACGAUCCGUAGCUGGUCUGAGAGGAUGAUCAGCCACACUGGAACUGAGACACGGUCCAGACUCCUACGGGAGGCAGCAGUGGGGAAUAUUGGACAAUGGGCGCAAGCCUGAUCCAGCCAUACCGCGUGGGUGAAGAAAGGCCGUUCGGUUGUAAAGUCCCGUUUUGUUAGGAAAGAAAAGACAAUACGUUAAGUACCCGUUGUUCUGACGGUAACCAAAGAAUAAGACACGCUAACUUCGUGUCAGCAGCCGCGUAAU
rnacentral:rRNA from 1 species